AUUGAACGCUGGCGGUAUGCUUAACACAUGCAAGUCGAACGGUAACAGGCCUUCGGGCGCUGACGAGUGGCGGACGGUGAGUAACGCGUAGGAAUCUGCCUCAUAGUGGGGACGACGUGGGGAAACUCACGCUAAUACCGCAUACGCCUACGGGGAAAGCGGGGAGUCUUCGGACCUCGCGCUAUGAGAUGAGCCUGCGUUAGAUUAGCUAGUUGGUAGGGUAAAGGCCUACCAAGGCGACGAUCUAUAGCUGGUCUGAGAGGACGAUCAGCCACACUGGGACUGAGACACGGCCCAGACUCCUACGGGAGGCAGCAGUGGGGGAAUAUUGGACAAUGGGCGCAAGCCUGAUCCAGCAAUACCGCGUGUGUGAAGAAGGACCCUAGGGUUGUAAAGCACUUUC
rnacentral:rRNA from 1 species